rnacentral:rRNA from 1 species
AGUGAACGCUGGCGGUAGGCCUAACACAUGCAAGUCGAACGGCAGCACAGUAAGAGCUUGCUCUUACGGGUGGCGAGUGGCGGACGGGUGAGGAAUACAUCGGAAUCUACUUUUUCGUGGGGGAUAACGUAGGGAAACUUACGCUAAUACCGCAUACGACCUACGGGUGAAAGCAGGGGAUCUUCGGACCUUGCGCGAUUGAAUGAGCCGAUGUCGGAUUAGCUAGUUGGCGGGGUAAAGGCCCACCAAGGCGACGAUCCGUAGCUGGUCUGAGAGGAUGAUCAGCCACACUGGAACUGAGACACGGUCCAGACUCCUACGGGAGGCAGCAGUGGGGAAUAUUGGACAAUGGGCGCAAGCCUGAUCCAGCCAUACCGCGUGGGUGAAGAAGGCCUUCGGGUUGUAAAGACCUUUUGUUAGGAAAGAAAAGCAGCAGGUUAAUACCCCGCUGUUCUGACGGUACCCAAAGAAUAAGCACCGGCUAACUUCGUG